rnacentral:misc_RNA from 1 species
AUAAGCUUGAGUCGACUUACCUAUAUAUCCAAAUGGAAUACUGCCCAAGGACUCUCCGUCAAAUGUUUGAAUCAUAUAGUCAUUUAGACAAGGAACUUGCAUGGCAUUUGUUCCGACAAAUCGUAGAAGGCUUGACACAUAUCCAUGGACAAGGCAUAAUUCAUCGGGACUUGACACCUAAUAAUAUAUUUUUUGAUGCUCG